ACGACUCUCGGCAACGGAUAUCUCGGCUCUCGCAUCGAUGAAGAACGCAGCAAAAUGCGAUACUUGGUGUGAAUUGCAAAAUCCCGUGAACCAUCGAGUUUUUGAACGCAAGUUGCGCCCGAAGCCAUUAUGCUGAGGGCACGUCUGCCUGGGCGUCACGC
rnacentral:rRNA from 1 species